rnacentral:rRNA from 1 species
CUAAGGCUCCAGAGGAAGCCACGGCUAACUCUGUGCCAGCAGCCGCGGUAAUACAGAGGCGGCAAGCGUUGUUCGGAAUUAUUGGGCGUAAAGAGCACGUAGGCGGCCUUGCAAGUCAGUUGUGAAAGCCUUCCGCUUAACGGAAGAACGCCAGCUGAUACUACAGGGCUUGAGUACGGGAGGGGAGAGUGGAACUUCUGGUGGAGCGGUGAAAUGCGUAGAUAUCAGAAGGAACGCCGGCGGCGAAAGCGACUCUCUGGCCCGAAACUGACGCUGAGUGUGCGAAAGCUAGGGGAGCAAACGGGAUUAGAUACCCCGGUAGUCCUAGCCGUAAA